rnacentral:rRNA from 1 species
GACGAACCGUGCGAACGUUGUUCGGAAUCACUGGGCUUAAAGGGCGCGUAGGCGGGCCUCCAAGUCCGGGGUGAAAUCUUUCGGCUUAACCGGAAAAGUGCCUUGGAUACUGGGGGCCUUGAGGGAGGCAGGGGCGGAUGGAACUUCCGGUGGAGCGGUGAAAUGCGUUGAUAUCGAGAGGAACGCCGGUGGCGAAAGCGACUUACUGGACCGUUUCUGACACUGAGGCGCGAAAGCUAGGGGAGCAAACAGG